UGAGGAAUCUUGCGCAAUGGGGGAAACCCUGACGCAGCAACGCCGCGUGAGUGAGGAAGGCCUUCGGGUCGUAAAGCUCUGUCAGAUGGGAAGAAAUGGGUGGGGGCUAAUAUCGUCCAUCCUUGACGGUACCAUCAGAGGAAGCACCGGCUAACUCUGUGCCAGCAGCCGCGGUAAUACGGGGGGUGCAAGCGUUGUUCGGAAUCAUUGGGCGUAAAGCGCGCGCAGGCGGCUUGGUCAGUCAAAUGUGAAAGCCCUGGGCUUAACCCAGGAAGUGCAUUUGAUACUGCCUCGCUAGAGUACGGGAGAGGAAAGUGGAAUUCCUGGUGUAGAGGUGAAAUUCGUAGAUAUCAGGAGGAACACCGGUGGCGAAGGCGACUUUCUGGCCCGAUACUGACGCUCAGGCGCGAAAGCGUGGGGAGCAAACAG
rnacentral:rRNA from 1 species